CCUACGGGUGGCAGCAGUGGGGAAUAUUGCACAAUGGGCGAAAGCCUGAUGCAGCAACGCCGCGUGAAGGAAGAAGGCCUUCGGGUCGUAAACUUCUGUCCUUGGGGAAGAAGAACUGACGGGACCCAAGGAGGAAGCGCCGGCUCACUACGUGCCAGCAGCCGGGGUCAAACGUAGGGGGCAAGCGGUAGCCGGAAUGAGUGGGCGUAAAGAGUACGUCGGUGGCAACCUAAGCGCAGUGUUUACGGCAAUGGCUCAACCAUUGUUCGCCCUGCGAACUGGGAUGCUUGAGUGCAGGAGAGGAAAGCGGAAUUCCUAGUGUAGCGGUGAAAUGCGUAGAUAUUAGGAGGAACACCGGUGGCGAAGGCGGCUUGCUGGACUGUAACUGACGCUGAGGCACGAAAGCGUGGGGAUCGAACAGGAUUAGAUACCCUAGUAGUC
rnacentral:rRNA from 1 species